rnacentral:rRNA from 1 species
GAUGAACGCUGGCGGCGUGCCUAAUACAUGCAAGUCGAGCGAAGCGGGAGCGGGUGAGUAACACGUGGAGAACCUCCGAUAAGACGGGGAUAACUUCGGGGAACCGGAGGUAAACCCGAUACUUAUACAUUGCUCCGCGAUGUAUUAGCUAGUUGGUAAGGUAACGGCUCACCAAGGCAACGAUGCGUAGCCGACCUGAGAGGGUGAUCGGCCACACUGGAACUGAGAAACGGCCCAGACUCCUACGGGAGGCAGCAGUGGGGAAUAUUCCGCAAUGGGCGAAAGCCUGACGGAGCCAUGCCGCGUGAGUGAUGAAGGUCUUCGGGUCGUAAAAUUCUGUUAUCAGGGAAGCGUUACCUAAUCAGAAAGCCACGGCUAACUCCGUGCCAGCAGCCGCGGUAAUUC